rnacentral:rRNA from 1 species
GCAAAACGCGAAGAACCUUACCACCUUUUGACAUGCCUGGACCGCCACAGAGAUGUGGCUUUCCCUUCGGGGACGUGGGCGACAGGUGCUGCAUGGCUGUCGUCAGCUCGUGUCGUGAGAUGUUGGGUUAAGUCCCGCAACGAGCGCAACCCUCGCCAUUAGUUGCCAUCAUUCAGUUGGGAACGUCUAAUGGGACGUGCCGGUGCUAAGCCGGAGGAAGGUGGGGAUGACGUCAAGUCCUCAUGGCCCUUACAGGGUGGGCUACACACGUGCUACAAUGGCGACUACAGAGGGUUAAUCCUUAAAAGUCGUCUCAGUUCGGAUUGUCCUCUGCAACUCGAGGGCAUGAAGUUGGAAUCGCUAGUAAUCGCGGAUCAGCAUGCCGC